GAGUGGCGCAGAGGAAGCGUGCUGGGCUCAUAACCCAGAGGUCACAAGAUCGAAACUUGUCU
rnacentral:tRNA from 1 species